rnacentral:misc_RNA from 1 species
GAUGAAGAACGUAACGAAAUGCGAUAAGUAAUGUGAAUUGCAGAAUUCAGUGAAUCAUCGAAUCUUUGAACGCACAUUGCGCCCCUUGGUAUUCCGAGGGGCAUGCCUGUUCGAGCGUCAUUAUAACCCCUCAAGCUCAGCUUGGUGUUGGGGCCUGCUGCACUGGCAGCCCUUAAAAUCAGUGGCGGCGCCGUCUGGCUCUAAGCGUAGUAAUUCUUCUCGCUAUGGAGUCCUGGUGGAUGCUUGCCAUCAACCCCCAAUUUUUCUAUGGUUGACCUCGGAUCAGGUAGGGAUACCCGCUGAACUUAAGCAUAUCAAUAAGCGGAGGA